UACGGGGGGGGCAAGCGUUGUUCGGAAUUACUGGGCGUAAAGGGCUCGUAGGCGGCCAACUAAGUCAUACGUGAAAUCCCUCGGCUUAACCGGGGAACUGCGUCUGAUACUGGAUGGCUUGAGAUUGGGAGAGGGAUGCGGAAUUCCAGGUGUAGCGGUGAAAUGCGUAGAUAUCUGGAGGAACACCGGUGGCGAAGGCGGCAUCCUGGACCGGCAUUGACGCUGAUGAGCGAAAGCUAGGGGAGCAAACGGG
rnacentral:rRNA from 1 species